GAUACACCUUUUCAUGUAACUGAAAUCAAAGAAGAUGAUUAAAACAUCAGUGCCAAGGACAUAAGAAGACAGCACAUGAAGAUAUCUUCAAGAAGACAGCGUGGAAGAUGUAGCUUUGGUAAUUUAAAGAAAGUGGAAGACACAGAAACAGUUACGCGGUAACUGAAGGAAAAUAAGAAAGUUAAAAAUAUGACUGCAACAAUAAAUAUUUCAAAGGACAGUGAAUAAUAAAAUGGAUAUAUCUGAAGACCAAGCUGCUGAUCUGGUACAGUGAGUCAAGAAGAUCUCACAAUAAGCAAAGCAAAAAUACAAAAAAAAAGGUCGCAUAAUGAGUGGAAGUUAAGAGACAUAGAUACAAGUUAUUAAAAAAAACAUCUAAUAGGAAUUUUAGGCUGAAACAACAGAAACAAUGGGAGGU